rnacentral:ribozyme from 1 species
AGCCCAGCAACUCCUAUCCCUACCUCCUCGUGGUACUGGCCGGCUGCGAAAGGCCUGGAAAAGUUUCAGAAAAUGGAGUCGCUAAAACCGAAGG